UUUUAAAACUCAAACGCGUUUCUCAUGUGAUUGUCACGACCGCAGUCAUUGGCUGGACUCGGGUCACAUGAUCUGAAAUAUGUAAACACGAACCCAGAAUCCGCAGUUCGCCUCAGUAAAAACAACCGAAAGCGAAGCUGAUUAUCCGAGGUAAACAACCUCACUUUCCCUCCCAGCUUUCCUCGUGUUUGCGCUGCGCCGUUUGCGCACCAGCUGACUGCAAAGGCGCAGCCGCAGCGAGCCUAUAGGCUGAGUCUCCGCCUGCGUGUCCUGUCAGCGAUUUGCUCCAGGGUCUGACAGGAGCGCAGCCGGCGGAGCCGAUGACAGUCCGAGCAUGGAGAACCCGGAGAGAGGAGGCAGGAGGAACAGGAACCCGCUGGCCACCGCCAACCUGCUUUCAAAGCUGUUCCUCUGUUGGUUGACGCCGCUGAUGCACCGCGGUAACAAACAGCGACUCAACGAGAGCGACAUGUACGGCGUUCUGCCAGAGGACCGCUCAGAAAACCUGGGAGAAAACCUACAGAGAAUUUGGACCCAAGAAGUAAGAAGUGCGACGAAGGAGCUCCGGGGUCCCAAACUGACCCGGGUUCUCGUUAAGGCCUAUGGGAAAUCCUACGCUUUAGCUGGGCUGUAUGUUUUCUCACUGGAAGCCAUUAAGGUUGUCCAGCCUCUUCUUCUGGGGAAAAUAAUUGAGUAUUUUGAGAAGUACAACCCAGACGAUGCUGCUGGUCUUCAUGCGGCGUACGGCUUUGCUGCCACCAUGUCCGUCUCCACCUUCGCGCUGACGAUCCUCCAACAUCUUUACUAUUACCAGGUUCUCCGAAUUGGCAUGAGGAUUCGAGUGGCCAUGUGUCACAUGAUCUACCAGAAGGCUCUGCGUCUCAGCAGCGAGUCGAUGGGACGAACAACCACCGGGCAAAUCGUCAACCUCCUUUCUAAUGACGUAAACCGCUUUGACGAGAUCAUCCUAAACCUGCACUACCUGUGGGUCGGACCGCUUCAGGCGCUGGUCAUCGUCGUUUUCCUGUGGUCUGAAAUCGGCCCUUCCUGUCUGGCCGGCGUGGCCGCCGUCGCCCUCAUGAUGCCGGUCCAGACGUGGUUCGGAAAACUGUUUGGCAUCUUCAGGAGCAGAACGGCCGUCCUCACCGACAGCCGGAUCCGCAUCAUGAACGAAGUGGUGUCUGGCAUCAGGAUAAUCAAGAUGUACGCCUGGGAGAAACCGCUGUCGGCCCUCAUCACUGAAGUCCGACGGAAAGAAAUCUGCCAGGUUUUAAGGAGCUCCUACCUGCGCGGACUCAACAUGGCUUCCUUCUUCGCCAGUAGCAAGAUCACGGUUUUCGUGACGUUCGCCGCCUACGCUCUGCUGGGGAACGCCAUCACGGCCAGCAGCGUGUUUGUCACCGUGUCACUCUACGGCACCAUUAAGCUCACCGUCACGCUGUUCUUCCCUCUCGCCAUCGAAAAGAUGUCAGAGACGAUUGUGAGCGUUCAUAGGAUUAAGAAUUUCCUGACGUUACAAGAAGUGGAGCGAAGAACCUUUGAACUGCACCUGGAGGAAAUGAAGGAGAGCGCUGUGGCGAUGGAGAAGCUGAGCUGCUCCUGGGACAAGAGUUUGGACUCUCCGUCUCUGCAGAACAUUUCUGUCUCAGUGAAACCGCAUCAGCUUUUAGCUGUGAUUGGACCCGUAGGGGCUGGAAAGUCUUCGUUGCUGAGCGCCAUCCUGGGAGAGCUGCCGCGCGACACGGGGGCGCUGGAGGUCAGAGGUCAGCUGGCCUACGCCUCCCAGCAGCCCUGGGUUUUCCCCGGUACCAUCCGCAGCAACAUCCUGUUUGGGAGAGAGCUGAACCCGAAGAAGUACGAGAAAGUCCUGCGCGCCUGUGCCCUGAAGAAGGAUCUGGAGCUUUUUCCUGAUGGAGAUCUGACUCUGAUCGGGGACAGAGGAGCCACGCUGAGCGGAGGACAGAAAGCUCGCCUUAACCUGGCCAGGGCUGUGUACCAGGAAGCAGACAUCUACCUGCUGGACGAUCCUUUAAGUGCCGUCGAUGCUGAAGUUGGAAAGCAUCUUUUUGAACAGUGCAUCUGCGGGCUGCUGCAGAACAAAUGUCGUGUGCUGGUCACGCACCAGCUGCAGUAUCUGAAGGCCGCAGACAAGAUUCUGGUCCUCAGGGAGGGCCACAUCAUGGGUCAGGGGAGCUACGGGGAGCUGCAGCGCUCCGGCCUGGACGUGGUUUCACUGCUGAGGAAAGACGAGGAGCAGGACUCCGAUAAACUGUCUCUGCACAGUCAGUGGACCAACUUCUCCCACAGUUCCCACAGCAGCCUCCUGCCAGCUGACACCGGCUACUCAGACCAACUUCCUGCGGAAGCGGCUCCAACGCUCGCAGAAGAGAGUCGAGCAGAAGGAAACGUCGACAGCCACAUUUACCUGAAGUACUUCACUGCCGGCUGCAACUCUCUGGUUCUGCUGCUCAUCGUUCUCAUCAGUGUCAUAGCUGAGGUUGCGUACAUCCUGCAGGACUGGUGGCUGGUUUACUGGGCGAGAGCCGACGUCUCCAACAGCUCGGCUCCUGUCGACAGCAUCAGAAACGGCGUCAACGCCACGCCCACGGACGCAGAGCUCCACCUCCCCUUCUACCUCGGCGUUUACUCAGGUCUCACCGCGGCCGCCGUGGUGUUUGGUUUUGUCCGGAGUUUGCUCAUCUUCCACGGUUUGGUGAAAUCGGCCCAGACUCUUCACAACAACAUGUUCAACGCCGUCCUUCGCACUCAUGUUCACUUCUUCGACGUCAACCCCAUCGGACGAAUUCUCAACAGGUUUUCUAAGGACAUCGGCCAAAUGGACUCCAUGCUGCCCAUAACCUUUGUGGAUUUUUACCAGCUGUUCCUGCAGAACCUCGGGGUCGUGGUGGUGGCCGCCUCCGUCAUCCCUCUCAUCCUCGUCCCCGUCGUCCCUCUGCUCCUCUUCUUCCUCUACCUGAGGCGCUACUACCUGCACACGUCGCGGGACGUCAAGCGACUCGAGUCGACAACUCGCAGUCCAGUCUUCUCCCACCUGUCGUCGUCUCUUCAGGGUCUGUGGACGAUCCGAGCGUUCGGAGCCGAGGAGAGGCUGAGGAAAACCUUCGACUCCUACCAGGACCUGCACUCAGGCGCCUGGUUUCUGUUCCUGAUGACCUCCAGGUGGUUCGCUUUGCGGCUCGACAGCAUUUGUUCCAUCUUCAUCACUUUCACGGCGUUUGGCUGCAUCCUGUUCAGAGACGGCCUGGAGGCCGGGCAGGUGGGGCUGGUCCUGACCUACGCCGUGACCCUGGUGGGAAACUUUCAGUGGACUGUGAGACAAAGUGCAGAGGUGGAGAACAUGAUGACGUCGGUGGAGCGAGUGGUGGAGUACACGGAGCUGGAGAGCGAAGCACCAUGGGAAACGGAGAAGCGUCCUCCUCCCGAUUGGCCGAGCGAAGGGGCCGUGACCUUUGACACAGUCAGCUUCUCCUACACCGCAGACGGUCCGCUGGUCCUGAAAGACAUCAGCGCUGCAAUUAAACCGAGUGAAAAGUUGGGGAUCGUCGGAAGAACCGGAGCCGGGAAAAGCUCCCUGAUCUCGGCUCUGUUCCGUCUGGCAGAACCUCAGGGAAAAAUCUACAUCGACGGUGUUUUGACCUCUGACCUCGGCCUGCACGACCUGCGCCAGAAGAUGUCCAUCAUUCCUCAGGACCCGGUGUUGUUUACCGACACGCUGAGGAAGAACCUGGAUCCGUUCGGCCAGCACUCUGACCAGGAGCUGUGGAGAGCUCUGGAGGAGGUCCAGCUGAAGUCCGUAGCCGAGGAUCUGCCGGGGAAGCUGGAGACGGUUCUGGCCGAGUCCGGCUCCAACUUCAGCGUGGGUCAGAGGCAGCUGGUGUGUCUGGCCAGGGCCGUCCUGAGGAGGAACCGCAUCCUCAUCAUCGACGAGGCCACAGCCAACGUGGACCCCCAGACAGACGAGCUGAUCCAGAAAACCAUCCGGGAGAAGUUCAGGUUCUGCACCGUUCUCACCAUCGCUCACCGCCUCAACACCAUCAUAGACAGCGACCGCAUCCUGGUUCUUGACGGUGGCAGCAUCCAGGAAUUAGACCGACCCUUCGCUCUGCUGCAGAACCAAGAUGGCGCCCUGUACAAGCUGGUCCAGCAGACGGGCGAGGCUGAGGCGGCCGCUCUGCUGGAAUCAGCCAGACAGGCUGCACACCGAACCCAACCCAACGACUCCCAGGACCCGAGAACGGAGCAGAACAUUCCAGAACCAAAUGAAAUGUGAUGUGGACGUUCAGGUGUGUCUUAAAGGAGAAAAUCAAAACGCACAGAGUUUUUACAGACAUGAAUGUCAUAUUUAUAUUUUUAACAUAGGAACAGCUCAACAUUAGACAGUUUGACCUCAUGAUGCACCGAUGAUCUGAUGUUUAGUCUAGACCGUCUGGAUUCAUUUGAAAUGUUUGAAGUCUUUUAAACACAGGCAUAAAUGUUCAGAAUUAUAAAUGUAUCCGAUAGCUCUGCACCAGUGCAGCUCAUUUAAAUACACCAGUAGCUCCUCUAGUUUAAUAAAUAAUGAAGAAACUCAGACUGAUGAAAACAAAAGGUCGACUACCUCAGCGAAACAUGUAAAUAAACGGUGGCAAACAUUAGAAACGGUUCAGAAAGUGUGAUUAGUAAUUAUAAAUAAAUAGCAAAUUAAAUAAUGAAGAAAUGUUGCACAGAGCACAAAAUAUUAGAGUGAGAAAUCUAACUUUUCAUUGACACUUGAUGUUUUUUAUAUCAGAACUGAAUCUGGUUUGAAUAUUUUUGGAGCCAGUUUGUCCUUCCACUCAACUUUCCAAAUUAUGCAUCAAGUUCAAAUGAAAAUAAAGGAACUACAUCAUUUUUAGAAAUUACUUUUUAAAAAUUUUCUGUUUUAUGAAAAUGCAUGUGUAGAGAAAAGAACAGUAAAUAUACCAAAGACGGAUGAGUUUUUAGUUGCAAUGACGGUUCUACAGAAACCCUGUGGCGGGUCCGGCUGCCGCGCAGCGGCGGCUCAGAUUAGCUCCAAUCGUUCACUGAUUGAAGUAACUUUUUGUGACACUGUGUCUUCACUUUAUAGUCUAGUUUUAUCUAAAUACAUGCAUUUUAAAGUAAAACCAGAUAGAGUAGAUUAGAAUUAUGAAAUUACUGGUAUAAAUGUCUUUGUUGCCUUUUCAGUGUUUGUCGUUGUCAGUUCCCAUGUGAAACGAGUCGCUCAUCCUCAGAUUUCCUGUGUAUUUUUGUCUUUACACUCCAAAUGCUAAUUUAAUCCCUGUAAGGAAGAAAGAAAAAUGUUAUCUGUGAAUGUAAACUGUUCAAUUUUGUAUGUAUUUUCAUAAACUGGAGUUUGUAAAACU